rnacentral:rRNA from 1 species
AUUGAACGCUGGCGGCAUGCCUUACACAUGCAAGUCGGACGAGUGGCGGACGGGUGUGUAACGGAUCGGAACGUGCCCAGUGGUGGGGGCUAACUAUUAGAAAGGACAGCUAAUACCGCAUAAUUUCCGAUCGGCCGAGGUGGGAUUCUCUGGUUGGGGGGGUAAAGGUCCACCAGGGCGACGAUCCGUAGCGGGUCUGAGAGGAUGAUCGGCCACACUGGGACGUGGACACGGUCCAGACUCCUACGGGAGGCAGCUGUGGGGAAUAUUGGACAAUGGGCGAAAGCCGGAGCCAGCAAGGCCGCGUGUAUGAAGAAGGCCUUCGGGUUGUAAAUGACUUUUGUCAGGGAAGCGGUACCUGAAGAGAAAGCACCGGCUAACUACGUGCCAGCAGCCGCGGUAAUUC